AUUGAACGCUGGCGGCAGGCCUAACACAUGCAAGUCGAACGAGUGGCGGACGGGUGAGUUAUGUCUGGGAACGUGCCUGAUGGAGGGGUAAAACUAGUGGAAACGGUAGCUAAUACCGCAUAACAUCAUAUGUGCCCAUGUUGGAUUAGCUAGUUGGUGAGGUAACGGCACACCAAGGCGACGAUCCCUAGCUGGUCUGAGAGGAUGACCAGCCACACGUGAACUGAGACACGGUCCAGACUCCUGCGGGAGGCAGCAGUGGGGAAUAUUGCACAAUGGGCGCUAGCCUGAUGCAGCCAUGCCGCGUGGAUGAAGAAGGCCGUCGGGUUGUAAAGUACUUUCAGCGGGGAGGCGUUACCCGCAGAAGAAGCACCGGCUAACUCCGUGCCAGCAGCCGCGGUAAUAC
rnacentral:rRNA from 1 species